rnacentral:rRNA from 1 species
GAUGAACGCUGGCGGCGUGCCUAAUACAUGCAAGUCGAGCGAACAGGCGAGGAGCUUGCUCCUCUGACGUUAGCGGCGGACGGGUGAGUAACACGUGGAUAACCUACCUAUAAGACUGGGAUAACUUCGGGAAACCGGAGCUAAUACCGGAUAAUAUAUUGAACCGCAUGGUUCAAUAGUGAAAGACGGUUUUGCUGUCACUUAUAGAUGGAUCCGCGCCGCAUUAGCUAGUUGGUAAGGUAACGGCUUACCAAGGCAACGAUGCGUAGCCGACCUGAGAGGGUGAUCGGCCACAAUGGAACUGAGACACGGUCCAGACUCCUACGGGAGGCAGCAGUAGGGAAUCUUCCGCAAUGGGCGAAAGCCUGACGGAGCAACGCCGCGUGAGUGAUGAAGGUCUUCGGAUCGUAAAACUCUGUUAUUAGGGAAGAACAAAUGUGUAAGUAACUAUGCACGUCUUGACGGUACCUAAUCAGAAAGCCACGGCUAACUACG